rnacentral:rRNA from 1 species
AGCCUGCUAGUUGUGCGGGUUUAGACCCGCAGCGGAAAGCUCAGUAACACGUGGCCAAGCUACCCUGUGGACGGGAAUACUCUCGGGAAACUGAGGCUAAUCCCCGAUAACGCUUUGCUCCUGGAAGGGGCAAAGCCGGAAACGCUCCGGCGCCACAGGAUGCGGCUGCGGUCGAUUAGGUAGACGGUGGGGUAACGGCCCACCGUGCCCAUAAUCGGUACGGGUUGUGAGAGCAAGAGCCCGGAGACGGAAUCUGAGACAAGAUUCCGGGCCCUACGGGGCGCAGCAGGCGCGAAACCUUUACACUGUACGAAAGUGCGAUAAGGGGACUCCGAGUGUGAAGGCAUAGAGCCUUCACUUUUGUACACCGUAAGGUGGUGCACGAAUAAGGACUGGGCAAGACCGGUGCCAGCCGCCGCGGUAAUACCGGCAGUCCGAGUGAUGGCCGAUCUUAUUGGGCCUAAAGCGUCCGUAGCUGGCUGAACAAGUCCGUUGGGAAAUCUGUCCGCUUAACGGGCAGGCGUCCAGCGGAAACUGUUCAGCUUGGGACCGGAAGACCUGAGGGGUACGUCUGGGGUAGGAGUGAAAUCCUGUAAUCCUGGACGGACCGCCGGUGGCGAAAGCGCCUCAGGAGAACGGAUCCGACAGUGAGGGACGAAAGCUAGGGUCUCGAACCGGAUUAGAUACCCGGGUAGUCCUAGCUGUAAACGAUGUCCGCUAGGUGUGGCGCAGGCUACGAGCCUGCGCUGUGCCGUAGGGAAGCCGAGAAGCGGACCGCCUGGGAAGUACGUCUGCAAGGAUGAAACUUAANGGAAUUGGCGGGGGAGCACUACAACCGGAGGAGCCUGCGGUUUAAUUGGACUCAACGCCGGACAUCUCACCAGCCCCGACAGUAGUAAUGACGGUCAGGUUGAUGACCUUACCCGAGGCUACUGAGAGGAGGUGCAUGGCCGCCGUCAGCUCGUACCGUGAGGCGUCCUGUUAAGUCAGGCAACGAGCGAGACCCGCACUCCUAAUUGCCAGCAGUACCCUUUGGGUAGCUGGGUACAUUAGNUGGACUGCCGCUGCCAAAC